rnacentral:rRNA from 1 species
AUGGAUCUUCUCCAGUUUGUGCUCAACUUUAAAGGCACACCACCAUGGCUGAACUCGACGGCCAUUACCGCCCUUAUGGACCGUUGGAGGCCGGAGACGCACUCUUUUCACCUUGCUCUUGGUGAGAUGACCAUCACUUUGGAGGAUAUUGCGAUGAUCUCCGGUCUUCCGAUCGAGGGCAGGGCUCUUACCGGGAAGGUAAAGUCCGAGGGGUGGCGACAAAGGGUUGCAGGUUUGGUUGGUGUUGAAUCUCCCCCGUGGAUUCAUGAAACAAAGAAGGAUCCUAGGCCAUCUGGUGUUUUGUUCUCGUGGCUACAAGAACAUUUUUACGAGUCCCAGAGAAUGCUAGUCCGGCUGUUGUGGAGAGGUAUGCCAGGGCUUACUUAUGGAAUCUUUUGA